CCUACGGGAGGCAGCAGUAGGGAAUAUUGCUCAAUGGGGGAAACCCUGAAGCAGCAACGCCGCGUGGGGGAUGAAGGUUUUCGGAUUGUAAACUCCUUUUGUUAGAGAAGAUAAUGACGGUAUCUAACGAAUAAGCACCGUCUAACUCCGUGCCAGCAGCCGUGGUAAUACGGAGGGGGCAAGCGUUACUCGGAAUCACUGGGCGUAAAGGGCGCGUAGGCGGGUUAGCAAGUCCGAUGUGAAAUCGUAGGGCUUAACCAUAGAACUGCAUUUGAAACUGUUAUUCUAGAGUAUGCGAGAAGUAGGUGGAAUUCGUGGUGUAGGGGUAAAAUCCGUAGAGAUCAAGAAGAAUACUGAUUGCGAAGGCGACCUGCUAGAACAUAACUGACGCUGAUGCGCGAAAGCGUGGGGAGCAAACAGGAUUAGAUACCCUGGUAGUC
rnacentral:rRNA from 1 species